AUGUCGACACCGAGAGCUCCUCCGAGCCUGGCCACGGCGGCGACGGCUAUCCUGGCCGUCCUGGCCGCGGCGCUCGUCACCACGGGAGCUCGCGCGCAAAUGUGCGGCGCGCAGGCCAACGGCGCCAAGUGCGCGAACUGCCUCUGCUGCAGCCGCUUCGGGUUCUGCGGCAGCACGGCCGACUACUGCGGCGCCGGCUGCCAGACCCAGUGCAGCGGCUGCGGCAACACUCCUACCGGCGCCAAGGCCGUGGCGUCCAUCGUGUCCAGGGCCCUCUUCGAGCGGCUCCUCCUACACCGCAAUGACGCGUCGUGCCUGGCCCGCGGGUUCUACACGUACGACGCGUUCCUCGCGGCUGCCGCGGCGUUCCCUGCCUUCGCCGGCACGACGUUCAGCACCAACACGCGGAAGCGGGAGGUGGCCGCGUUCCUGGGCCAGACAUCCCACGAGACCACCGGCGGGUGGCCGACGGCGCCCGACGGCCCCUACUCGUGGGGCUACUGCUUCAAGCAGGAGAGGAACCCGCCGUCCAACUACUGCGAACCCAGGGAGGAGUGGCCGUGCGCGCCCGACAAGCAGUACUAUGGCCGCGGCCCCAUCCAGCUCUCCUACAACUACAACUACGGACCGGCGGGCCGCGCGAUCGGCGAGGGCCUGCUGAACCAGCCGGAGUUGGUGGAGACAGACCCGGUGGUCUCAUUCAAGACGGCCCUAUGGUUCUGGAUGACCCCGCGGGGUAACAAGCCGUCGUCCCACGCCGUGAUCACGGGGCAGUGGAGGCCGACGCUCGCAGACUUGGCCGCCGGCCGGUUUCCCGGAUACGGCGUGAUCACCAACAUCAUCAACGGCGGGCUCGAGUGCGGGAUCGGGCAGGACUCACGGGUAGCCGACCGGAUCGGGUUCUACAAGCGCUACUGUAAUGUUCUCGGUGUCAGCUACGGGAGCAACCUGGAUUGCUACAGGCAGAGGCCAUUCACUAGCUGA
rnacentral:rRNA from 1 species